UGAAUCUAUGGACAAAUCAUUAUCAUCUAAAAAAGAAAAUUUUGCAGCUGAAAUAAAACUUAUAAUAAAUCUUAUACAUUAGUAAGUGACGUAAUAAUUUGUACUUACUUUCCUUUCCUUUUUAGAACAUAAUACAUCCAACUAUAGAAAUAUACAAUACACGCAUUUACAAGGUCGAGCAUGUGACCUAUAAAAUCACUGACCGACACAUAACAAUGUAAUCCAGGUGUUAAAAGUACAAAAAAUUAAAUGUCAAUUAUAUAAGUAAAGGUAAAUUAUUGUGUAGAUUGUAGUGUGUUUUGGGGGACUUUUGAUGUAUUUUAUUUACUGGUAGAAUAUUGUGAAUAAUUUAUACGCAAACUCAAUCUGUGUAAUUAAUAUGAAUGUAUAACUUAUGUAUGGAAAAAAUAUAAAAUAGAUUUUUUUUUUAUAAUAGAGUCCACCGUUUAUCCCUGGACGUUGGAUCAUUGUAAACACAGGGCCCCUUGUGUAUUCUUCCCUGGGUUAUACAAGGAAAAUUGUAUUCAGGUGAUUUUCAAUAAAUGUAUUUCAAGUCUUAAAAAAAAAAA
rnacentral:lncRNA from 1 species